UUGAAAGGAAACUUGCCACAGUGUAACCUUUAAUUGGUGACCCUCCUGCCGCCAAAUUUGUAUGUGGGUGUGUUCUACUUUGUCCUUUUCGAUAAUUCAUUCAUAUUCUUGGUGGAUCCCUACAGAGGUCGACGCUUGGAUCGUACCAGGGAAAUGGGGUGGACAUGAAGCACAAGCCAAGCUGAGGGUCCUUCAGUCAAAUCCUCGACAGGAUAGCAGCACAGCCAUCCUGUUAGAGUAUUACUACAGCUGGCAGAACCAACCACAGUAUUCCACCCAAUGCUAUUUAGAUUGGAAAGAGCAGAAGAUUACAUCAAUGCUUUUCAAUCGGAACAAAAUGUGAGGGAUAGAUCUACGCAAGAAGACCUCAACAGACUCAUAUCACAUGUAAGGGCAUCUGUAACAAAAGAAUCUUGAGACGUUUUAUAAUUUACACUGAAGAUAGGCAGCACAAUAUUUCAAUUUAAAAAUAUGUUAUCUCUGUCAA